CUUGUAGGUGGUUUGUCGCGUCUGCUGUGAAAAUCCGGGGCUCAACCCCGGACUUGCAGUGGGUACGGGCAGGCUAGAGUGUGGUAGGGGAGACUGGAAUUCCUGGUGUAGCGGUGGAAUGCGCAGAUAUCAGGAGGAACACCGAUGGCGAAGGCAGGUCUCUGGGCCAUUACUGACACUGAGAAGCGAAAGCAUGGGGAGCGAACA
rnacentral:rRNA from 1 species